rnacentral:rRNA from 1 species
GACGAACGCUGGCGGCGUGCUUAACACAUACAAGUCGAGCGGUAAGGCCUCUUCGGGGGUACACGAGCGGCGAACGGGUGAGUAACACGUGGGUGACCUGCCCUUCACUCUGGGAUAAGCCUGGGAAACUGGGUCUAAUACCGGAUAUUCACUACUUGUUGCAUGAUGGGGUGGUGGAAAGUCCUGGGCUUAAUUGCCUGGGCUCGGGUGGGGGAUGGGCCCGCGGCCUAUCAGCUUGUUGGUGGGGGAUGGCCUACCAAGGCGACGGACGGGUAGCCGGCCUGA